CUCUUCUCCUACACUGAACUUGAAGAAGCAACCAGUAAUUUUGACGGCAAAAAAGAGCUUGGAGACGGAGGUUAUGGAACUGUGUAUUAUGGUAGGCUCCGAGAUGGACGAGAGGUUGCAGUCAAGCGCCUGUAUGAGCACAAUUACAGAAGGGUUGAACAAUUCAUGAAUGAAAUCGAAAUCCUCACACGCCUACGCCACAAAAAUCUUGUCACCCUUUAUGGCUGCACUUCCCGUCGCAGCCGUGAGCUCCUGCUUGUAUAUGAAUACAUUCCCAAUGGUACGGUUGCUGAUAAUCUUCAUGGUGAUCGGGCAAAGUCCAGUCCACUAACAUGG
rnacentral:misc_RNA from 1 species